rnacentral:rRNA from 1 species
UACGGAGGGAGCUAGCGUUGUUCGGAAUUACUGGGCGUAAAGCGCGCGUAGGCGGCUUUGUAAGUUAGAGGUGAAAGCCCGGGGCUCAACCCCGGAAUUGCCUUUAAGACUGCAUCGCUUGAAUCCGGGAGAGGUGAGUGGAAUUCCGAGUGUAGAGGUGAAACUCGUAGAUAUUCGGAAGAACACCAGUGGCGAAGGCGGCUCACUGGACCGGCAUUGACGCUGAGGUGCGAAAGCGUGGGGAGCAAACAGG